AUGACACUUGUUCGUGUGCUGUGGGCUGUGACGGUCUCCACCUGUUUUGGAUUCAGCAUAUCCCAGACAGUCACCCAGUCUCAACGAGAAAUGCCUGUCCAGGAGGCAGAGAUGGUGACACUGAGUUGCACAUAUGACACCAGUGAAAGUAAUUAUUAUUUGUUCUGGUACAAACAGCUUCCCAGUGGGCAGAUGAUUUUCAUUAUUCGCCAAGAAGCUUUUAAGCAACAGAACACAACAGAGAAUCGUUUUUCUGUGGACUUUCAGAAAGCUUCCAAGUCCAUCAGCCUCAGGAUCUCAGAUGUUCAGUUAGGAGAUGCUGCAAUGUAUUUCUGUGCUUUCUCUGACUCUGGAUCUGGGAGUUAUGGACUCACUUUCGGGAAGGGCACCAAACUCUUGGUCACACCAAAUAUCACAAACCCUAAUCCUGCUGUGUACCAGCUGAGAAGUCCUAAAUCCAGCAACAACUCCAUCUGCCUGUUCACUGAUUAUGAAUCUCAGACCAAGCUGUCAGAAAUCUUUAAGUCAGAAAGAUUCAAACCAGACUCAACGGUGUUGAACAUGAGGACCACAGAUUUCAAGAGUAACGGAGUCGUGUUUUGGGGCAACAACGAGAAUUCUCCAUGUGCUGAUAAUAUCUUCAACAAGACUCUCUUCCGCUCCAGCUCAGGAUAUCAUUGUAAUGCUGAUUUGGUAGAGAAAGGCUUUGAAACAGAUAUGAACCUAAACUUGCAAAACCUGUUUGUGAUCGGGCUCCGCAUCCUGUUCCUGAAAGUGGCUGGAUUUAACCUGCUCAUGACGCUGCGGCUAUGGUCCAGCUGA